CCUACGGGAGGCAGCAGUUAGGAAUAUUUGUCAAUGGAGGAAACUCUGAACAAGCAAUGCCGCGUGAAGGAUGACGGUCCUAUGGAUUGUAAACUUCUGUUGUUAGGGAAGAACGACUACACAAGGAAAUGUGUGUAGAGUGACGGUACCUUUCAAGAAAGCUCCGGCUAACUACGUGCCAGCAGCCGCGGUAAUACGUAGGGAGCGAGCGUUAUCCGGAUUUAUUGGGUGUAAAGGGUGCGUAGGCGGCUUUAUAAGUCGGUGGUCUAAGUCCGAAGCUUAACUUCGGUUCGCCAUUGAAACUGUAGAGCUUGAGUAUGGAAGAGGUAAGUGGAAUUUCUAGUGUAGCGGUUAAAUGCGUAGAUAUUAGAAGGAACACCAGUGGCGAAAGCGACUUACUGG
rnacentral:rRNA from 1 species